ACGCAGCCUCAGGAGACCUCAGCUGGUGAGCAAAACGAGAGUCCACAUAACACGUUUGUUUUUCUUGUUUUCUUUCCAAAACUCCAAGGCACAUUCAGCAACAGCCCAGUCUUGCUCCUUGAUAAUGAAGGCCUUUUGACCUGGGAGACCUCCACAAAGCGGCUCUUUUCUGGAAGCAAUAAGAACACCUGCAGGAGAAGCCAGGCUCCAAGUCUUGUCACUGCCUUUCCCUAGGAUGAGCCUGGACCAAAGAUGUUUUGCCUACACUUACAUCUAUGCACCGUAUGUGUGCAGUUCCUUCAGAGGCCAGAAGCUGUUGAAUCCCAUGGGACUGGAGUUACAGACCGUUGUGAGCUGCCAUCAGAACCCUCCAAAGGACUAACAACCCAGAUCAAAAGGAAAUUGUUUAUCUCUCCUUUGGAAGAAGCCUGAGACAAGUAGGGAGAUCAGCACAGCAGUGGAGCCUGCUUCCCAGGACCUCAGAGUUCUCUUCUCUGGGCUCCACCCUUGGGAGAAGCUGCCUCUCCAAAGCCUCACAGCCAAGAUACCUUCUACAGUUUCAGAAACAACAACAACAACAACAAAAAAAAAC